rnacentral:tRNA from 1 species
AUUUAUUUAGUAUAAAAGUACAUUUGACUUCCAAUCAAAAAGUCUAAGUUUCUAGAAUAAAUA